AACAAAUGAACAAUACUCAUUCAGUGACUUUCAAUCAGAUUCGAUGGUCUUGGAAACCCAAACACUAACCUUAACUUUCUCUUCGAGUUUUGAUGUUUCAUGGCCAAUGGAUAAUAAGAUCACGGCCACUCUCCAUCUCCCCCACCUUCGCUUUCUAUUUUCUCUCAUUUCUCUUUUGUGUGGGGACGGCUCUUCGUAGAUCGGUAUAGUUCCUUCGCCAUGCUCGCGUAGUAGUAACCCUUCAUCAUCCCCAUCUCCGCACAAUCAAACCAAUCACACCUUUCGGAGCCUCUCUGGCGUCGUCUACACCCUCCACCACCGUCUUUACCUUUGACUCCUCUCCCCUAGCAAACCGGCCCGCCGCCACCACCGCCGCCGCAGCGACAUCGUUAGCUCUCGUCGCCAUCUCCGCCAUUGCCCAGAAACUGAGUCGGGGAACUUCAACAGCAGUGUUGCUGAGAAUUAUUAGGUUUGCAUCAGUAAAUUAAAGAAUGACUUUUGUUAUAUUUUUGACCUGUAAAUUGCAUAUGAAAUGAUGAUUUUUGCAUAUAAUAUACAUAGUUAUUUGUUUUUAAUAUCAUUUAUUCCUAUUUACAUAAAGUGCUUGAUUUCUUGUACAUAUUUCCUGAAUGUUGUUUGCUUAUUAAACCUUAUAAACUCUGCUUAGUUAAUCAGCAAUAAUCACAUAGUUUUUUAUUUGAUUAGAUUUUGGAUAAAAAAGGGGUCAAGAUGGGUGGGACGUGAUUAAAGAGGGGGAGACAUAGUUUGGACCCAUGGAUUAUGUGUAUAGGUACCCUUGCAUAUAUAUUGAUCUAUCAAAUCUGGAGCUCAUUAAUGGCAGACAAUUAUAUAGUGCCAUACAACUUAAGUAGCAUAACAUAAACUCACAUGAAAAUCUAUGGUUGAUGGACACCUAGAUCUUCUUUUGCUUCACGCUUUUCUCUUGUAAUGGGAUGGGCUAGCACCAGGUUGUAAUUGGACGCAAAUACUGGUUUUUUUUCUAAAAUUCAAAUUCUAGGUCCAGUUUAGCAGUGCUAGCAUGUCCAUGUGUGGUUAAUCUAAUUCUUAAUCUUCUCUAGCUAUCUUCAACAAAAUCUUGAGAUUUCCAUGUGUGGCAGCGCACAAUCCAGUGUUCAUAAAUUAAACAUUCAUCAAGAGAAAUUAGCUAACUUUUAUUUCUAGCUAUGUGCAACCACCUGGAAACCAAAAUUUGUUGUUUCAUACCACAAAUAAACCGGCAAGACAGGCUGGGGGGCUUACCGGCAAAAAUUAUUGAGGCAAUGGAACCACAUCAAAAUUCCAAAUUUCAGUUGCUGGUAUGAUCAAUGAAGGCACCAUCUUUGCUUCAUUCUCAAUUGAUUCUAAUCAGAACAACACUAGAAGAACUGUGAAAAUAGAUGCUAAUGCUGAUGAUUCUUGUGUUGGAGCAAAGGAGAAUGUACAUGUAAAGGAAGAGUCUAACCACUGUGUAGCAAUUGAAGAAAGAGUUCAGCUAUAACAAAAUACUGAAGGAUCUCAAGAAAGAUUUUUUUUA